UACAGAGGGGGCAAGCGUUAUUCGGAAUUACUGGGCGUAAAGAGCUCGUAGGUGGUUUGUCGCGUUGUUCGUGAAAACUCACAGCUUAACUGUGGGCGUGCGGGCGAUACGGACAGACUGGAGUACUGCAGGGGAGACUGGAAUUCCUGGUGUAGCGGUGGAAUGCGCAGAUAUCAGGAGGAACACCGGUGGCGAAGGCGGGUCUCUGGGCAGUAACUGACGCUGAGGAGCGAAAGCGUGGGGAGCGAACAGG
rnacentral:rRNA from 1 species